AGAAAUAUGUCUGACAAAAGAAUUACUUUGAUAGAGUAAACAAUAGGGGUUUAAAUCCCCUUAUUUCUA
rnacentral:tRNA from 1 species